CCUAAUGAUAAAGAAAUGUUUACUUGUGUUCAAAUAUAUAUCAAACAAACUCACCGUUUUGAUUAUAAAGUAUAAUUUAAAUUACCAUGUGGAUUAUUUGAAGGAGUGAUCACGAGUUUGACUGCACGUGAAGUGGAAGAUAUAUAAUAUGUGUCUGAUGGGUGUCUGCAGAAUGGUUCUCUUUGUAAUGCAUGCCAGUUUACUAUGUAAUUCCACUGUCCCUAGAAGGAUCCUACAGCUAUUCCUGUCCAGGGCCCCGUUCCACAAAAGAAUUAUAGCUAAAGUUAACUGUAGUGACUUAAGAAAGCCAUCACUAUCAAUUUCACAUUGACAUUUCGGUAAUUACCAGGAACCGCCAUGUUUGAAAUGUGUGUGAACCGACUUCUGCGUUCCAUUACGCCUUGCGUCGAGAACCCAUCGGUUAAUG